rnacentral:rRNA from 1 species
CCCUUAGAUGUUCUGGGCUGCACGCGCGCUACACUGAUGCACUCAACGAGUUUACGACCUUGCCCGAUAGGGUUGGGUAAUCUUUUUAAAAUGCAUCGUGAUGGGGAUAGAUUACUGCAAUUAUUAAUCUUCAACGAGGAAUUCCUAGUAAGCGCGAGUCAUCAGCUCGUGCUGAUUACGUCCCUGCCCUUUGUACACACCGCCCGUCGCUCCUACCGAUUGAGUGCUCAGGUGAAUAAUUCGGACUGCAGCAAUGUUUGGAUCCCGAACGUUGCAGCGGAAAGUUUAGUGAACCUUAUCACUUAGAGGAAGGAGAAGUCGUAACA